CACUCCACCCCCCGUCGCACCCCACUCUUCCCCUCCAAACCCUAAAGCGUGUAUCACUCCCUUUCUCAGUCACUCACACGGUGCCACCGCACACUUCAGAGACCCCACCACCGAUCGUCCAGCCGCUCUUGCUGUUGCAACACCACCAAGCCCUUCAAACCGAAGCUAGGGUUUCCAAGCUAGCGUCCGAAACAACAGUCUCUCCCACCUCCGUGAUCGCGUUUGAGCACUGAGCUUCGCAGAGCAACGUCGACGAGCUAAGCAGCUCUGGCGCGUUCAAGUUCUCCACCCGAAACGACAACUCCAGCGAUUUGUCCGAUUUGGGGGGAAGUUCGAGAGUGCUGGAAACUAGAAGCUCCAGUACCAUUGAGUUUUGGGACAAGUAAAGGAGAAGUUCUGGCUUGUCAAGGGUUUUGGAAGAUGGAAAAGAGAGUUUGGAUUUCAACGAGUUUAAUUAGCAAGAUUAGGUGUUCACUGAGUCCAUGCUGAGUUUGGAGUAUCCAUCAACUCGGGUUUCUUCUCUCAAGGCUGAGGAUAUCGAUGCCAAAUGUCCCCAUGUUAUUACUUUCGAUGUGGACACUUAUGUGCUUCAAUUGACAGUUUUACCGUGCAAAACUACAUAUAUUGAAUUAUUAAUUCAGAUUGUGUUUUGUAGUUUUGGGAAUGUACAUAAAUGGUGGUGCCUCUGGGAGCAAUUGGGCUUUUGAAAUCCUUUCGACCCAUCUUCCUAUAAUCUCGCUGCAUACCUAUGGUAUCUAUUAUGCUUUCUCAUGUUGCCUGCAUCUCUUACAAUGUCGUCCACUUCUCUCACUCUCUGUGUUCAGGAAAAAAAUUGAAAAUAUUCCUCAACAAAAACGGCAUCGACUUCUCCGAUUGUUAAAACCUAGAAAAAGAAACUUACACUGCAAGUUUUUGGGAAGACUUGUAUCAAUGACCAAUGUCAAUUUCCAAGAUCAAUUCCUUUAGAAAGGCUAUAUUUACUGGCAAGGAUGGGCAGACAUAUGGGGAAAGGCUGGAACGAAGCUUGUAUGUUCUUUCCUAUUCCUGUCAGUUCCUUCUAAAUCUUCAAAUUCUUUGGGAGAACAACCCUCCAGUCUGGCUAGCAGAACAUUGCCUGACUACGUUGAGCAUGGGAUAGUUUAGAAGCUUCUCUUAGUUGGUUGCAGUGGAUCUGGAACGAACAUUAUUUUUAAAUAGAUCAAUACUGAGUCAUCAUUUCCCGUAUCACUACUCAUUAUAUACAUAAAAAUAAAAAGUGAUCAAUUAUCCCAAAAUUAAGACAAACAAAUUUGCUUACCCAAAGAGAUCGUGGCAUUCGAUGGUGUGGUGGUUGAAGGAUGCACUUUGGCUAACCAAGAUGGCACAAGCCGUGCCCUUCCUAUAACACAAAGGUUGACAAUCGCAUGGUUGCACAACUACUUGAGAGUAUACUAUUCAUAAUUGAUGUUGUGCUUCCCAUGCUAGGGAAGUUGCCUCCCAGUAUUGUUGGGGAACUCGAGCAACAUUUGAAACAAAUUAUUGUCGGGCAUUCUUUCUUCGCAGUUGUCCAUGUAGUUAGGUACCAGACAUGGUGCAACAGUCCUCAAGGGUCUCAAAUUAGAAAUAUUCUAGCGGUGAAAAUCUAUGAUCAUGUAGUGUUGCCUAGAUCCAAUAUGAAGCUUUAGCCAAAUCAAAACCAGAUGUGUUGUUGUUCUUUGCUGGAGUCAUCCCAACUUUGUCUCAUUCCGAGUCCCGGUGCUCGUAUUCUUGGUGGUGGGAUAGCCACCUACCAAAGAAUUCAAAAUGGCUUCAGGAAAACCUUGCAGGUCUCUUUCUCCUUGUAUUUAUG